CUUUAAUGCAGUAUUUCCAGUUCUCGAAAUUUAUCUUACAUCUCUUCUUACACAUUAUGCAAACAUGUAUGUAUGUACAAAGAUGUUUACCCUUGUAUUAUUUAUAAUAGCAAAAAAGUUGGUAACCUAAAUUACCAUCAGUUGAGAACUUAUUAAAUAAGUAAAUUAGUAUUUAACAACACAAUGGAAUACUUUGCAGCCAAUUUUUUUUAAGACACAGAGUCUCGCUCUGUCGCCCAGGCUGGAGUGCAGUGGUGUGAUCUCAGCUCACUACAACCUCCGCCUCCUGGGUUCAAGCAAUUCUCCUGCCUCAGCCUCCCGAGUAGGUGGGACUACAGGCACACGCUGCCACACCCGGCUAAUUUUUUUUUUUUUUUGUAUUGAUGGGGUUUCACUGUGUUGCCCAGACUGGUCUCAAACUCCUGAGCUCAGGCAAUCCGCCUGCCUUGGCCUCCCAAAGUGCCAGGAUUACAGACGUGAGCCACCACGCCCAGCCCUUUGCAGCCAUUUUUUAAAAGAAGUAGAUUUGUACAUGCUGAAAUGGAACAUUCUCCAAGACAUACCAUUAAAUUUAAAAAGCAAGGUGCAAGGGGACAAAAGGCUGAGUGUGAUUAGGCAUUGAGCGUGCAUGCAUAUAGAACAAAAUUCUGGAAAAAUAGUCAGAAACUAUCAGCAACGAUUACUUCUGAGGGAAAGGCCUAGAGUGAGACAACCUCUUCAUUGAUUGCCAGUUUGAACUGUUUCCCCGCCACCCAUGUGCUUAUAUUACAAAAUAUCCAUGUUGGAAAAAUAUAUUCUUAUUCAAACCAAACCCUGCUCGUCAAAGCAUUGCAACGGCCUCCCCACUGAUUCUUGUAGACUGAGCGCUAAGACCUGUUAAGCCCUGUUGCUCUGCUUCAUGCAAAGUUCUGCUACCUAAUGUGCAUUUUCAUAUAGGAGGUAAGGAGGUAAGGAUCAGUAUCUCAAUUUUAUAGCUGAUGAAACGAACUUGAAAAAAUUAAGUGAAGGUUAGUUUAGUUUAGUUUUUUGAUUGUCUGUUUUUGAGACAGGGUCUCACUCUGUUACUCAGGCUGGAGUGCAGUGACGCGAUCUUGGCUCACUGCAACCUCGACUGCCAGGGCUCAAGCUUCCUGGGUAGCUGGGAUUACAGGCUCCCGCCACCUCACCUGGCUAGUUUUUUAAAUUUUUUGUAGUGACAGGGUUUUGCCAUGUUGCUCAGGCUGGUCUCCAACUCCUGGACUCAAGCAAUCCCCCUGUCUUGGCCUCCCAAAAUGCUGGGAUUACAGGCGUGAGCCACCAAGUCUGACCAUGAAGUUUAGUUUUAUGUGUCAAUAUGGCUAGGAUAUAGUACCUACUUUAUUAAUCAAACACGAAUCUAGGUGUUGCUGUGAUGGUAUUUUGUAGAUGUGGUUAACAUGUACAGUCAGUUGACUUUUGAAUAAAAGAGACUGUCUUCAAUAAUCUGGGUGUGCCUCAUCCAAUCAGUGUAAAGGCCUAAAGACCAAACUGAAGUCUUCCUUGGGGAAGAAACUUACUGUGGAUUGCUGCUUCCACUCCUGCCUGAGUUUCCAGCCUGCUGGUUUGCCCUGCAGAUUUUUAACUUGCCAAGCCAGCCCUGACGAGCAAAACAGCCAAUUCCUUGCAAUAAAUAAGUAAUCAAUCAACUGCCUUUGUAACCCACACCGUGCCUACAAUAGUGUCGUGAAUAUAUUUAUUUUCUGAGCCAAUGUUUAUGAGGCAUCUGCUCUGCGGCAGAUUCUAUGUUGGGUAUUGGGGAAAACUCUAUUUAAAAACAUUACUGCCCACAUUUGUCUCCAUCUCCAAUGGAAAGGCCAAAUAUUUUCAGAAGCCACUUAAGUAGGCAAGGCAGUAGUAAGUCACAGCUGUGAGUCCAGCAUGUGAACACAGUCUGAUGCUAGAGUGCAUAAAUUUACUACUACGCAAUGCCAUAUUCCUAUGGUUAGAAUAGGCUAGGGAAUAUCACAAACCUGGGCUCAAAUCCCAACUCUACCAAUUUCUAGAAUGUGACCUUAGGUAAGUUGUCAUGUCUCUCUGAAACUGUAAUUUUCCCUAUCUAUAAAGUGGGCAUAAUAUUUAUAUCUACCUCUUAAGAUUGUUGUGAAAAUUAAGAGUUCAUCCAUGGAAAGAAUUUAGCACAAUACUCUGAGUAAGUGCUGGGUAAAUGUUUCUAUUAUUACGUUUCCCAGAAAAGCUGAGUCCCCCAGGUAUGAUUUGGAAGGAGAGGAAGAGCCUGUUUCUGGCUUCUAACUGGAGCCUAUGCUUCCCAGCCUGUCAGAAUGGCCACCAGCAGGCUGUAACCUUUUGAUUUGGAAGGAGAAAGAGAAGAGUGAGAGGGGAGAUAUAUGUAGCUAAGCAACGGAUGGGGGAAAAAAAGCCAGCUAGUAAGAAAUUCUAGGUGGUAGUGUUGGCCAAUUAAUAAUAAUAAUAGGCCAGGCAGCAAUUCUAGGUGUUUUCCAUAUAAUAACUCAAUUACCAAAACAAUACUGUGAGAUAUAUAAUUUUUCUCAUUUUAUAGAUUAAAGAAAUUGAAUCACAGAUAGAUUAAACCACUUGCCCAACAUCCAACAGCUAGUGACUGGUAGAGCCAAGAUUCAAAACCCCAAUGAUCUGGCUCCUAAAUCUUUGUUCUUAAUGACUAUGUAGUACCAUGGAGGACAAUUUGGGGAAUUCAAAAAACUCAGGAUUCAAGGAAAUCAUCCAAAGCGGGAGUCAGGAUUUCUGUAGAAAAAUGUCCUAUCACAGUACUAUUUCUUGAACACCUACUGUGUGUCAACAGCUGUUUUGGUGUUUACACAUACCAUUUAAUCCUCACAAAACCCGUAAGUGAUAAGAACUGUCACCCCCAUUAUUUAUUUAUUUAUUUAUUUAUUGACAGGGAGUCUCGCUCCGUCACCCAGGCUGGAGUGAAGUGGCACAAUCUCGGCUGACUGCAACCUCCAUCUCCUGGGUUCAAGUGAUUCUCCCGCCUCAGCCUCUCGAGUAGCUGGGACUACAAGUGCCCGCCACCACGCCUGGCUAAUGUUUGUAUUUUUAGUGCAGACGGGUUUUGCAUUGUGGGCCAGGAUGAGUCUUGAACUCCUCACCUCAGAUGAUCCACCCACCUCAGCCUCCCAAAGUGCUGGAAUUACAGGUGUGAGGCACCGCAUGCAGCCCCCCAUUUUUAGAUGAUGAAUUUGAAUGAUGAAAGCCAAGUGAUAAAAUGACUUCUAGCCCAAAUGCAUUUCACAUUGGUUCUAUGCAUUCACGGACCCACCCUGUGGUUAAUUCCCCAGUUUCUGGAAGUAGAGAUCAGCAGAUAUAUAUUUAGCAGAUAUUAGAAUUCUUGUGUUGUUUUUCUGACCUGAGGAGUAAGAAUCUUUUUUUUUUUUGAGACAGAGUCUUGUUCUGUCACCCAGGCUGGAGUACAAUGGCUUGAUCCCGGCUCACUGCAACCUCCACCUCCUGGGUUCAAGCGAUUCCCCUGCCUCAGCCUCCUGAGUAGCUGGAAUUACAGGCAUGCCACCACCACACACGGCUAAUUUUUGUAGUCUCUAAUGUUAGUAGAGAUGGGGUUUCACCACAUUGGCCAGGCUGAUCUCGAACUCCUGACCUCAAGUGAUCCGCCCGCCUCGGCCUCCCAAAGUGCUGGAAUUACAGGCGUGAGCCACCACAUCCAGCCGAGUAAGAGUCUGUAGUAGAAAGGGCCAAGUGGAAGCCCCUGAAGUUACCCAGACACUUCACUGCCCCCAUCAGUAGAAGCAAUAUUGCAUCCCAGAAAGAACUGCAGAGAUUAACACCAUCAGAACAGACUUAGAGGACACAAGCCUGUUUAUGCCCAUUAUAUCUCUAUUCAGAUCACCUCUAUGGCUUCUGCAAUAAAACAGACCCUGGCAGAUGAUGGUGGAAUGUUCUGGUAAGGCUCAGUUAAGUGUCAGCUCAGGAACAAAUCCAGUGGUAAUGAUGAACAGGCUAUUUGUAGUAAUCAUGAUCAUAUCAAGGGUAAGGCAAUCAUAAGGACUUCAGGGACAGUCAUAGUCCCACCACCAAGCAAGAAAUCCAGGCCAGCCAAAGUGCUAGAUGAGAAUAAGAGAAAUCUAGAUUGAGUGGUAGAAGAAGCAGAUAAUGAAUAUCAAUUACAGCUUUGGGAUCAACUGUAGCAGCAAGUGUUAUAACUUGUUUCACUAAUUUGCUUGGAUUAUCAAGUGUUUGCAGAGAACGCAGCCAACUGCCAUACUGAAGACGACCGUAUGACAAAUUAAAUUUACACAAGGGCAUUUUAAGUGGGCUUGAAUGGUGCAAGGGUUGGACUCUGUCAAACACCUCUCAUGUCCCACUUCAUAUCUUGUCAGUCUCACCUCUUAUUCCAGCCAUUGUGCAGCAGUGACCAUCUUCAUGAAGAUGUAACCUGAAAAUGCCUGGCCUCAGGCCCGUCUCAUGUCUUUCAUUUUCUGCCUUCCAGUCUCUUUGAGCUGCCAUGCCUGAUGUCUGUGGGAGUCCACUUAGCACUCAUUUACAGGAAACAUAAAUGUUCCCUAGGGCCAGUCUUGACCAAUGGGAGAGGGAAACUGAUGGAUAACCUUUUCUCCCUCUCUUCCCCUGAGCAAGACAGUCCUUAAAUGCAUCCUAUAUGGUCUCUCAGAAGGUCUCCCAUGCUUGAGUAAUCAGUUGUCCUCAGUAGUAGUUAAUAUCUUAUCCUUAUAUUUGCACUCCCUAUUUCAUUUUCUGCAAGCAUAGCUCCUGCUUCCUGAGAUCAGCACAGCAAAUUAAACUACUCACACAUAAGCCUUUGUCUCAGGCCCUGCUUUGGGGAGAAUAUAGGCUAAGACAAAUGCUUUAAGGCCAUAAACAGAAUUGAGAGGGUAUUUCAGACUUCUGCCUUCAGGGACUGGGGGUUGGAGUCAAAAGUUUUUCUCUAUUGUGCUCCAAGGUUAAAUAAACAAUGCUGUUGGUCAUAAAAUGUCAUCCACAUUUUCUUCCUGUGAAAUAGGGUCACUUGAUGAUAAUCAGCAGUCCCUUUGCUCUUAGAACAUUUUGCUUUCAUCCUUCUCCUGGUUGAUAUUAAUGGUCUUUAUAAAAUUGAUAUUGAUAUGAUCUGAUGCUGAUAAAGAGGAAUUUGGGCUGGGCACAGUAGCUCAUGACUGUAAUCUCAGCACUUUGGGAGGCCGAGGCGGGCAGAUUGCUUGAGCCCAGGAGUUUGAGACCAGCCUGGGCAACAUGGCGAAACCUCAGUUCUACAAAAAAUACAAAAAUUAGCCAGGUGUGGUGGUGCACCUAUAGUCCUAGCUACUCCGGAGGCUGAGGUGGGAGGAUGAUUUAAGCCUGUGAGGUCAAGGCUGCAGUGAGCUGUGCCCACUGCACUUUGGCCUGGGCAACAGAGUGAGACUCUGUCUGCCCCUACCCUCCCACUCCACCAAAAAAUAAAAACAAAAAGAGAGAGUGGGAUUCAAAUACCAAGGUGCACCUCAAUGAAGUCUAGAUUCCUCUGGGCUUCUGAUCAGUGCACCACAAAAUUCUGAACACUCAUGAAGACAAGAUAGGAGGCUAGGUGCAGUGGCUCACGCCUGUAAUCCCAGCACUUUGGGAUACCAAAGGGGGAGGAUCACUUGAGGUCAGGAGUUCCAGACCAGCCUGACCAAUAGAGAAACCUUGUCUCUACUAAAAAUACAAAAAUUAGCCAGGCGUUGGGGCGGAAGCCUAUAAUCCCAGCUACUGGGAAGAAUGAGGCAGGAGAAUCGCUUGGGCCCAGAAGGAGGAGAUUGCAGUGAGCCGAGAUCAUGCCACUGCACUCCAGCCUGGGAGACAGAGCGAGACUCCAUCUCAAAAAAAAAAAAAAAGACAAGAUAGGAGACUCCACAGCAAACACUUCCAAGUCAUGGGCAAAGGUCUGGUGGCUAAAUAGGGGAAGACAUUUUUUUCUUUUCCUUAUUUAGUCUCUCCUCAGAACACAAAUUGGGAGCUUGAAGAAAGAAAUAGUGUAAUGGUUAUAGAUGCAGAUGCUGCCAUCUGAUGGGCUGGGUUGAAUCCUGGCUGCAUCACUUACCAGCAGUGAGUACCCGAGUGAGUUCCUUAACUCUCCAGUGCUCUAUUUCCUCACAAUGUUUACAUAAAUGAGAUGACUUAUGUAUCACACUUCACCCAGUGUUUGGUAUCUAGUAAGUGUAUGCUAUUAAUAAUAAUUGAAUCAUUGCUACUAUUCAUAUCCUAGUUCACAUGGAGCUUGGCAACAAUGAAAUCUAAGGUUCUGUGUGUUAUACCUGUUUUUUUUUUUUCCAUAUUUUAAGUUACCUCAUAACCCUUAAAAGCAAAGAUUACUGAAAUGUGUGUCCUGGCCCCGCCCCAAUAACAAAAUAUAGGAAAGGAGCUGUGGGACACCCUUUGGCACUCAAAUUAAGAUCUUAGUUUUCCAGCCUAGCCAACAUGGUGAAACCCUGUCUCUAAAAAAAUACAAAAAUUAGCUGGGCAUGGUGGCACGCGCCUGUAAUCCCAGCUACUUGGGAGGCUG
rnacentral:lncRNA from 1 species